GACGUAGGGCGCGAGCGUUGUCCGGAUUUAUUGGGCGUAAAGAGCUCGUAGGCGGCUUGUCGCGUCGACUGUGAAAUCCCGCGGCUCAACUGCGGGUCUGCAGUCGAUACGGGCAGGCUAGAGUUCGGUAGGGGAGAUUGGAAUUCCUGGUGUAGCGGUGGAAUGCGCAGAUAUCAGGAGGAACACCGAUGGCGAAGGCAGAUCUCUGGGCCGUAACUGACGCUGAGGUGACGAAAGCGUGGGGAGCAAACAGG
rnacentral:rRNA from 1 species